UGUAAGCGUAUACCAAAGUUGUUGCAGUUAAAACGCUCGUAGUCGGAAUUUGGCAGUUCCGGAUGUGUGCACGUCGUGUGCGCACUUCGCGGGGAUUGCUUUUGUGGUCUUGCGUAGGAUGAGGCACUUUUAUUAGUGAACGUCCUCACGCAACCACUUUUUACUGUGAGAAAAUCAGAGUGCUCAAAGCAGGCAUUUGCCGUGAAUGUAUUAGCAUGGAAUAAUAGAAUAGGACUUGGUUCUAUUUUGUUGGUUUGUUGGGACUGAGUAAUGAUUAAGAGGGCCAGUUGGGGGCAUUUGUAUUUCGGUGCUAGAGGUGAAAUUCUUAGAUUACCGAAAGACAAACUGCUGCGAAAGCGUCUGCCAAGGAUGUUUUCAUUGA
rnacentral:rRNA from 1 species